AGUAAGGGCGACUGAACAGGGAAGAGCCCAGCGCAUAAGCUCGUGUCCCCAAACCGGGCACGAGCGGUGUUGCGUUCCGGAGGGUCCGGCACGCCGUCCCAUACCGCCUAAGUCAAGCUUGAACGCGGCCACUACCCAUGGAGGGUGACAGGCCCGUAUGGCGGCGCCCGCGAGGGUACAGAUGGGGCGGUCGGAAAGGACUUCUCUCCGUAGAGUCGGGUUGCUUGAAAGUGCAGCCCAAAGUAGGUGGUAAACUCCAUCUAAGGCUAAAUAUGACCACGAGACCGAUAGCGAACAAGUACCGUGAGGGAAAGUUGAAAAGAACUUUGAAGAGAGAGUUCAAGAGUACGUGAAACCGUCAAGAGCCAAACGGGUGGAGGCUCGAAGGUCGAAUUGAGGGGAUUCAGCCCGUCGGCAACUAUGUUGGCUGGUAGGUUCUGGUACGACCCUUUUAAACUUGGGCGUCCUGCCUACCUUAGCUGGCGUCGGCGGGCGUACUUCGCCUCUUAGUAGGUCGCCGCGACCCGUUGCUGGGGACGUCUAAGGCCCGGGUGGAUUGGUACCCCGCCGCUUGUCUUCCUUCCUUCGGGGGGGUUUUCCGGCGACUGGGGGAAACCCUCGGUGUUUCCUGGCUGCCCUGCGACGGUCGUUGAGAGGAGCCCUCUCUUGGCUUGCCAAGGGGGGUCUCUCGCGGCGUAUAAAAGUUCGGCGCUCCACCCGUCCCGUCUUGAAACACGGGCCAAGGAGUCCAACAUGUGUGCGAGUCAUUGGGCGCACUAAACCCAAAGGCGAAAUUAAAGUGAGAUGGCUUGGUACGGACGACGGAGUUGUUGGUAGGAACGUGCGUCGGGUUGGAGGUCUUUCGGGGCUGAAGGCUCGUCGUGCUUACUACUCCCCUCUCUAGAAUCCUGCCGCUUUGGCCAUGGGUCGAUCCUCGACUGGCUGCCCUCGGGUUCCCAUCCUCUUCUGUCGAGUACGCUGGAUGAGUUAUUUUCUCCGGUCUCUGCUCGGUAGGGGGUUUACGGGAUGGUGCUCGGACGGCGAAAGUCUUAAUUUUCAUCUUCGGAUGAUUGUAACCUGCUUUAGACAGGGGGGCGCAGGCCCGGGACUUGCCAUAGACGCCACAUGUCUCCCAUAGGUUGCUGCCUUCGCUGCUGUCGCAUCCGUCUUUAUGAUGUGAGGUGUGGCUGUUGGCGGGGGUGGGCGCCGACCGGGUUAGCGAGUGUGUAGUCGGCAAGUACCAUGAGCAGGCAUGUUGGGACCCGAAAGAUGGUGAACUAUGCCUGGCCAGGAUGAAGCCAGAGGAAACUCUGGUGGAGGUCCGUAGCGAUUCUGACGUGCAAAUCGAUCGUCAGAGCUGGGUAUAGGGGCGAAAGACUAAUCGAACCAUCUAGUAGCUGGUUCCCUCCGAAGUUUCCCUCAGGAUAGCUGGAACUCGCUCCCAGAUGAAUUUCAUCCGGUAAAGCGAAUGAUUAGAGGUCUUGGGGACGAAACGUCCUCAACCUAUUCUCAAACUUUAAAUGGGUGAGAUGCCGAGCUUGCUUAAAAGCUGAAGCUUCGGCGAAGAAUCGGAGUUCCUAGUGGGCCACUUUUGGUAAGCAGAACUGGCGCUGUGGGAUGAACCAAACGUCGAGUUAAGGGGCCUAAACGAAUGCUCAUUCAGAUCCCAUCGAAAGGUGUUGGUUGCUAUAGACAGCAGGACGGUGGCCAUGGAAGUUGGAAUCCGCUAAGGAGUGUGUAACAACUCACCUGCCGAAGCAACUAGCCCUUAAAAUGGUAUGGCGCUCAAGCAUUCUCCCGAUACUCGACCGCCGGGGCACUACAGGCUUUUAGUUCAUUCUAAAGGUCUCGAAGCCCCGGUGAGUAGGAGGGUCGCGGUGGUGAGCGCCGAAGGGUUCGGCGUGAGCCGGCCUGGAGCCUCCACCGGUGCAGAUCUUGGUGGUAGUAGCAAAUAAUCGAGAGAGACUUCCUUGAAGGCCGAAGUGGAGAAGGGUUCCAUGUGAACAUCAGUUGGACAUGGGUUAGUCGCUCCUAAGCCCAAGGCGAAAGCCUGAUCCCACGCUAGCGGCAACGACCAAUCGAGAGAUACAUAGAGUGUGUCCAAUAAUGGAAGUAUGAGAAAGAGAGGAAAGAAGGAAGGAAGGGUGAAGACCUCUGGUGAUG
rnacentral:rRNA from 1 species